GCGCCCCAAACACAGCCGUGCCAUUAGCCCCAUGCAUGCCUUCUCGCAUAGAGAAAAGCCUUCAUUAGUAUAUUUGCGCAAUACAUUUAGGCAUUGCAGGAAUCGGCGUGGGGCUGCCCGGGAUGCUGUGGCCUCAUCCUAAUUGCACCGUAAUAUCCGUUUGCGUGCAGCGCAUUGCAGGUUCUACUGAUCAAACAUCUCAGGGUGACAGCGCACGCAUGGACCCAGCAGAAUCGGCAUCAUCUGCAGAUCCCGUCGUUCCGCUCAGGGCCACGGCGCGGACUUACCAUGUGCCAGAGUGUUAAAGGCAGAGACUUCAGACGGGACACGAGGGUGUGUUUGUGCGGUAUGCGGACAGGCUGGUCUUCCGAGAUCAUUUGGCUCC